AACGAACGCUGGCGGCAUGCCUAACACAUGCAAGUCGAACGAGACCUUCGGGUCUAGUGGCGCACGGGUGCGUAACGCGUGAGAACCUGCCCUUAGGUUCGGAAUAACUCCCCGAAAGGGGUGCUAAUACCGGAUAAUGUCUUCGGACCAAAGAUUUAUCGCCUUUGGAUGGGCCCGCGUUGGAUUAGCUAGUUGGUAGGGUAAAAGCCUACCAAGGCGACGAUCCAUAGCUGGUCUGAGAGGAUGAUCAGCCACACUGGGACUGAGACACGGCCCAGACUCCUACGGGAGGCAGCAGUGGGGAAUAUUGGACAAUGGGCGAAAGCCUGAUCCAGCAAUGCCGCGUGAGUGAUGAAGGCCUUAGGGUUGUAAAGCUCUUUUACCCGGGAUGAUAAUGACAGUACCGGGAGAAUAAGCUCCGGCUAGCUCCGUG
rnacentral:rRNA from 1 species